UACGUAGGGUGCGAGCGUUAAUCGGAAUUACUGGGCGUAAAGCGUGCGCAGGCGGUGAUGUAAGACAGAUGUGAAAUCCCCGGGCUCAACCUGGGAACUGCAUCUGUGACUGCAUAGCUAGAGUACGGUAGAGGGGGAUGGAAUUCCGCGUGUAGCAGUGAAAUGCGUAGAUAUGCGGAGGAACACCGAUGGCGAAGGCAAUCCCCUGGACCUGUACUGACGCUCAUGCACGAAAGCGUGGGGAGCAAACAGG
rnacentral:rRNA from 1 species